GAGUCUCCUGGUCUGUUGCGUGGAAGAAUAAAAAACUUCACUACAGAUGGUGCCGUGACCCGGAUAGAGAAAUCUUACCUGAAUCCAGAAACUUAAACUUCAAGCAACAAAAGAUUUCAACAGAGAAUAUCAACUGAAUCUUGAAAACUUCAAGCAGAACAAGAUCUCAAAGCGGACUGAGUUCCAGAACAAGAACAAAAAGAACUUUUCUGACUGAGUUCCAGACUGAAUCUUUUCAUACAAGCAACGAUUCGAUACCACUUGAUGGCUAUCCCGAGACCCAUACGCACAGACGUCUUCACCUGCGUAUGAAGCCACCACUUCCAGAGAACAAUGAGACCCACUGCCGAGCCAACUAUCACCAAAGUAAAGAAGAAAAA